AUUACUGCAAUGACCAUUAGAGCCAGCGGCAAAAUCUUCCAGAUAAAAAACAGACAAACCCCCCAAACAAGUUAUCAACCAGCCCGAGCGGCUCUGGUUGCUGCUGCCUUGCAUCUUAUUUCUUAAUUCUCCUGGACGCGCUCUCUGUCGUGAGCGCGCCAUCACGUGGGAGGUCCCUUUAAGUUUCCAUCGACUGAGGCCUGAGCGUGUCACAUGGACAUGAUAUAAUGAAAAGGCAGGAACAGAGUGAGUGCGCUGGGCUCUUUGCUAAAGCAGAAGGGAGCAGAAAUGUACGCAGUCAUCUGCCGACAGUGUAGAGGGCCAGGGGGCCGAGCCCAACCGAACGCUGCCGAUCUCGACCGGGCUGGGCCGAGCCGGACAGACUGCGCCUCAUCGGACGGGACCUCUGUGUUCGCCGUUGCACCUGCCAGCUGUGACGCGCACUUUAAAAGAGGAGGAAAAUGUCGCCUGUGCGCGUAUUUCGCACAGUCCCGGAGCAAAGGAGGAGCGCCCUUCGGUGCUCUGCUGGAGGCAAAUGCAUGCUGCAGACGCCUUUUGGGCUUCAAAUCAGCAAACGGCACUGGAAUGACGCACCCCUGGCUAAAAGAAGCUGAAGAAGACCAGAGCAGAGAGGCUGUGAUGUAACUACAGCAUUGGACUCAGCGCAGAUGGGAGCAGACGGACGGACGGAACGAGGAUGACAUCACUGUUACCCGUGGGAGCCUGGGCCUGUCAUUCUUGGUGUCACUUCCUGGGAGAGAAUAGAACAGGAAGCCAGCGCGAGAGCCGACAACGAGCGCUCCCCUCACCUCCACAAGGAAGCCUUUUUCCCCCGAGAGCAAAAUGUGUGUCCGCUUGUGUCCCUCGCUCACUCCUGCAUUCAUCGCGCAGAGGGCUGGUGCUGGUUCAGAAUUUGUGUAAGCCCUGAUUGUUUUCAUUUCCUUUGAGCUCAGUUCUGAGCCUUUUGCAACAAAUCCUUUGAAGAGCUUGUUAUUUUACACGUCAACGGUAGUUAAAAUAAGUCAGAGUGGUGACUUUAUGGGUACGGAUGCAGUAAGCUGUGCCUCUGCAGGCUUUAUUUUGCUGCCCUGGGUCAGCAGUGUUUGGAGGAGGGUGGAUUUACAAACGUGGAGGCCACUGUGACGUCACCUGAUGGUGUUGGACUCUGGGUCGGGGUGAGGCUCGGUCCCUUGGCCGGUGUCACACUCUGCUUCUAUGCUGGAGCUUUCCCAUAUUGGACAAAAGGGUCGAGUGAAAAUUGGUUAGCUGCAUGUGUAGCUUGCAGGGCUCCAUCCAUAAUUUCUGAUCAGUCCUUUUCCUGAAUGGUGUAAGCCUCAGAUAUUUGUCAGGUAACUCUGUUUAACUCCAAAAGGCUCCAACAGGAAAAGUCCAGUUUGACUCUGCACAGAGCCCUCAGUUAAACCCUCAACAUCCACUCAUGUUACCAGAUCAACAGUUAUUCAUAUGGCUAUUUGUUGAUAUUGUGUUACUGUUGUGAAAUGCAGGGACGUGGCUGCAGCUCAGAAACUGCAGCGAGUCAUCAGGAAGAUCGAAGAGCUUCUCUUCCUGUUGAAGUGUUCUCUUAAGAUAAUGGCUGAAAUAAGUGAGUAAGCUUUGUUGAAAUGCCAGCUCGUCGUGAGCUUUGGUUUUCUUUUUUAAUCAUGAGGCUUUGUGAUGAUUCAUGUCUGUGUUAAGGUGCUAACGUGGCUGAUUCAGAGCUGCUAAUGAGUAGACGUGUUGUUCUACUUGUUUGUCUUCAUGCUCUAAAACGCUGCAUCCAACUGAGCGACUCAAAUGCAACCUGCUUAGUGCGUACACAGCAUCUUUGUACUAUUCAUCAGUGUGCAGGCAUACAAAGCAGGCACGCGUCCUGCUACCUGAAUAGUUUUUACACAAAUCCUGAACUCAGACAGGACGCGCUGUGGUUCAGGCUCUGCAGGCUCUGGUGAGUCUGUGUUUAAAGGAUGGAAAGAUGACUGCGACGCAAAAAUGAAAUUAAAAAUGUUCGCGUUUCGGUCCCUACUGUGGAUUUACUUCUGCCCUUUGACCUCUCUAACCAACACAAGUGCAUCAAAGCUGAGCCCUCCCUUUGAGGACCCGCACGGUGUUAUAGAUGUAAUGUCGCCCUCUUGUGUGUGAAUUUAAAAUUGCAGGAUUCAGGCUGAGUUUUUAAAUAAUAUGCAAAACACUGUCUGGUGAACGUCAGCACUAACAUCGGAUAUGGGCAGCUGUUAGUUGACUCCGCCCUCCAAAGCCCCCCACCUUUCUGCAGCGCCGACAGCGUAAAGACUUUGUAGCCUGGACACACCUCUGAUCAUCUGACACCCAUCUUUCAAACACCUGGAGGGCCGCUGGGACAAUGAUGUACUGUUAGAUUUGUUGUCAUGACGCCCUUGUUGGUUAUGUAUGCACUGGGCUCUGGUUCCCACAAACAGUGGUGCACGCAGAUCUCUGUGCUGUGACACUAGAAACCACGCACACGGUCACAGUUUGUCCGUCCCUCCAGCUGCUCACGUGUCACCCUGCAGUGUCUACAACGAGCCAUUUAACCCUCAGCGAUGAGCCGUAACCCUGUGCCAGCAGCACGCGUGCUUCAGGUGAGGCCUGUGGUCGACUCGGGGCAGAGACUUUGUUGCAGUCUAACGUCAAGAAUUUGGGUGGCACAGUUUCUUUCCAGUAAUUCAGCAAAUUUGUCUCAGUUCCCUCCAAAACUGAAGUGAGCUCGCUGGUUUUCUUGGAUUUUUGAUGAUUUCUUGAGCUUGGCCACACUUUCUCUGAUUGGCUGUCAGCUUCACAACUCCUCCAGUCUGUAUGUUGAGAUGUCAUGUGUGCGACAGGCACAGUACUUUGACUAAUAAGUGCUAUAGCGAUCCUCUGUGUAACCUCGAUUUAAUCCAAAGAUUUCGUCGACCCUAAAGCAGACUCACAUUUACCAGCUUCUCUGUUGCUCGGGUGCUUCUCUUCACACAGAGCUCUGUCUCUGUGGCAACAGCCUGGAAAUGCUUCUGCUGUGGACCCACAACAAUGAAUGUGUGUAGAGGUACCCAUGUGUCCGUCUGUACUGAUGGAGCUGAUGUGUCACAUAGAUUUGGCUCUGUAAAGUUGACGUUGAGCAUACUCGUAUCCAUCCAUUCACGUUGGUUUUCCUCUCUGACGUCAUGUGUUCUGUCUUCCUGUAGUGUCUGUGGAAGGUGGCAGGUCGUGAGCGUAGGCUGACGUAGACUGGAGCGAGCGCUCGUCAUUGUGUUUGCGAGCACCGUGCUUCCAAACGCCGUUCACAGCAGGCUCGAUGCAUUGCUCCUGUGGCAGGCGUCCCUGUCUUAUGCUGUCAGCCUCACUUUUCAUGUGACGUCUGUUCUGUUUGAAUUCAUCUUCGUUGCUUGAAGCAAGUAUUCAGGUGCCAGCUGCUCAUGAUGCUGGACUGGCAUGGCAACAGCAGAGAUAACCCUGAUGAGCAGAUGUGUGUGUGUGUUAUAAUAGUGGUUUUUAGUAGGCUGGACUAACUGGUUUGUAUUUCCUUGCUGGAAUAAUAGCUGACCCUGGUUUGGGCUUUUGGGAGCUAACUUGUGUUUAUCUGCAAGCACCUACAGGUGAAAAAGAAACGCACUGAAAACUUGUCUCAGCUUCAAGGUGAGCAUUUGAACCAACUACCAAUGAGAGUGCAGGAUACAGGUGACUGAUAUAUGACUGGUUGGUAAAUAUGUUGCAGGGUCACCUAGGCAACUGGAGCCUGGAAUGUCCGCUAGCAACCAAUCGUCAGCUUCAGAGCACGACAGCUCGCUGACUUCCUGUGUGGAUUAUAGCUCAUGUUCACAUGCAGUGAAAGCUGAUGGUUGCAGGUGAAUGUUUGCAGGUAUCCACACAGACGUCAGACACGCCUGCCUUUCCUACAUGUUAGCAUCUGUAAUCAGGAUUACAAGAGUAGACAGGUUUCUGUGCUAGAGGUAUGAUAUAUGCUUUGAUAGCAAUAAUAUUUUAAAAUUAAAUAAUAUAAAUGAAAAGCUAUGUAGUUGUUCUUUUUGUACGUGCUUAUAGGAAGUUCAGUGUAGUUCCCUUGCUUCUGUGGAUUUGAUAAUGAUACCUUUACAUUUCCUUUGUUGUUGCUCAUAGUUGUGGGGUGAAAAUGUAAUAUUGUGACAGUAAAUAUGGUUUAGUCUAGAACAUUAGGAAUUUGCUGUGCAGAGCAUCCCAGGCUGGAGUCCAAUUCCCGACUCAGUCUAGUGCAAAGCACACUUUGGUUUAAUGUUGAACUAUUUCACAAAGAAGAAGUGCUGAAACCAAACUUUAAUCUCUAAAAUCUCUAAACUGCAGUUUUAAAGCAGAAUAAGGUGACAUUGUUCUCCCACCAACCUUUGGUUUCAAAUGAAUCUGAUUUAAUCAUCGAGUCGUUUUGUCCACGUGAAGCAGUCCGACACAACACUGCACUCUGGAUCAACAUCUGACUUAUUGAUCUUUUAAUCGUCUUUCUAUUAGGAGGUGAAUGAGUUGUUUUUUUCAUGUUCCUACAACAUAACUAUAUAUAUCUAUAAAUCACUACUUACUUGUGACCCAAGAAAUUUCUAAAUAUUAUGGCCAGUGCUUCUGAUCUGUCCUGAGAAGUACGUGUUGGGACUUUCCUACAGUUGUAUUGACUUUGCUUUAUAACAUGUCUGAAUAAAAUUGCCUACAUUCAAAUUA